UACGGAGGAUGCAAGCGUUAUCCGGAAUGAUUGGGCGUAAAGCGUCCGCAGGUGGCUAUGUAAGUCUGCUGUUAAAGAGUGAGGCUCAACCUCAUAAGAGCAGUGGAAACUACAUGGCUAGAGUGCGUUCGGGGCAGAGGGAAUUCCUGGUGUAGCGGUGAAAUGCGUAGAUAUCAGGAAGAACACCGGUGGCUAAGGCGGUUCUCUAGUACGGUACUGACGCUGAGACGCGAAAGCGUGGGGAGCGAACAGG
rnacentral:rRNA from 1 species